rnacentral:rRNA from 1 species
GACGAACGCUGGCGGCGUGCUUAACACAUGCAAGUCGAACGGAAAGGCCCUGCUUGCAGGGUACUCGAGUGGCGAACGGGUGAGUAACACGUGGGUGAUCUGCCCUGCACUUCGGGAUAAGCUUGGGAAACUGGGUCUAAUACCGGAUAGGAGCCAUCUUUAGUGUGGUGGUUGGAAAGUUUUUUCGGUGUAGGAUGAGCUCGCGGCCUAUCAGCUUGUUGGUGGGGUAAUGGCCUACCAAGGCGGCGACGGGUAGCCGGCCUGAGAGAGUGUACGGCCACAUUGGGACUGAGAUACGGCCCAGACUCCUACGGGAGGCAGCAGUGGGGAAUAUUGCACAAUGGGCGCAAGCCUGAUGCAGCGACGCCGCGUGGGGGAUGAAGGCCUUCGGGUUGUAAACUCCUUUCGCUAGGGACGAAGCUUUGUUGUGACGGUACCUAGAGAAGAAGCACCGGCUAACUACGUG